CCUACGGGGGGCAGCAGUGAGGAAUAUUGGUCAAUGGACGAGAGUCUGAACCAGCCAAGUAGCGUGAAGGAUGACUGCCCUAUGGGUUGUAAACUUCUUUUAUAUGGGAAUAAAAUGUUCCACGUGUGGGAUUUUGUAUGUACCAUAUGAAUAAGGAUCGGCUAACUCCGUGCCAGCAGCCGCGGUAAUACGGAGGAUCCGAGCGUUAUCCGGAUUUAUUGGGUUUAAAGGGAGCGUAGGUGGAGUGUUAAGUCAGUUGUGAAAGUUUGCGGCUCAACCGUAAAAUUGCAGUUGAAACUGGCAGUCUUGAGUACAGUAGAGGUGGGCGGAAUUCGUGGUGUAGCGGUGAAAUGCUUAGAUAUCACGAAGAACUCCGAUUGCGAAGGCAGCUCGCUGGACUGCAACUGACACUGAGGCUCGAAAGUGUGGGUAUCAAACAGGAUUAGAUACCCCAGUAGUC
rnacentral:rRNA from 1 species